rnacentral:rRNA from 1 species
GAUGAACGCUGGCGGCGUGCCUAAUACAUGCAAGUCGAGCGAACAGACGAGGAGCUUGCUCCUCUGACGUUAGCGGCGGACGGGUGAGUAACACGUGGAUAACCUACCUAUAAGACUGGGAUAACUUCGGGAAACCGGAGCUAAUACCGGAUAAUAUAUUGAACCGCAUGGUUCAAUAGUGAAAGACGGUUUUGCUGUCACUUAUAGAUGGAUCCGCGCCGCAUUAGCUAGUUGGUAAGGUAACGGCUUACCAAGGCGACGAUGCGUAGCCGACCUGAGAGGGUGAUCGGCCACACUGGAACUGAGACACGGUCCAGACUCCUACGGGAGGCAGCAGUAGGGAAUCUUCCGCAAUGGGCGAAAGCUUGACGGAGCAACGCCGCGUGAGUGAUGAAGGUCUUCGGAUCUUAAAACUCUGUUAUUAGGGAAGAACAAAUGUGUAAGUAACUAUGCACGUCUUGACGGUACCUAAUCAGAAAGCCACGGCUAACUACGUG